UUGUCGAAGGAACCGGAAGGAGUUUACUUCCAGGUUUUAGGACGCGUCACUGUGGCACUCUAUUAUUAACAGAUUUCUUAUCUAAUUAGUAUUUAAUAUUUGUACACCUUGAUCAUUUUUAGCUGUAGUAGGAAUCACUUAAAUAAUCGCCUUCUUUCUGUCCAGCAGAUUUCAGGUCAUGCACUUUAUGAUUAACUUUAUAUGACUUAAUAAAAGCAUUUUAUCUUUUACGAGGGCUCCUCUCUCUAACUGUCAAGCUUUGAAACCAAAGUCUAUUUCCACUGCAGUGUGUUAGAUGCCUCGCUGUGUAGCUGUGUGUGUGUGUGUGUGUGUGUGUGUG